GAGGCAGGGGAGUAGAAAACUAGAAUCAAGAAGUCUGUGAUUUCAAGGAAUUCAGCGAGGAGGAAGAGGAGAAAUGAGGAGAGUAUCUGAAACUGAACCCAUCAGGCCAAACCUCCCGCCUUCUCUUCCAGAUACUGAUACUUCUCUGUUGCUGGAAAAAGCCAGAAAUUUGCUCCGAGGAGGCAAUGGAGAAUCUUCAUCCUCCUCUUCUUGCUCAGUUAACUCUCCUUAUUCGGCUACAGAUCCUCUCCAAGGUAUAUUGAUGUUGAUAUAACAUCUUCAAAGUU